UGGCCGUAAACGAUGUGGACUUGGUGUUGGAAUGGCUCCGAGCUGCUCCAGUGCCGAAGGGAAGCUGUUAAGUCCACCGCCUGGGAAGUACGGUCGACAAGACUGAAACUUAAAGGAAUUGGGCGGGGGGAGCACCACAACGCGUGGAGCCUGCGGUUUAAUUGGAUUCAACGCCGGACAUCUCACCAGGGCGACAGCAGAAUGACGGCCAGGUUGAUGACCUUGCUUGACAAGCUGAGAGGAGGUGCAUGGCGUGUGACUGU
rnacentral:rRNA from 1 species